UAUCUCUUCAGGAAGGUUCUCAGAAGCUGCCAGAUGGUUUUGCUGACAUCUCAUUGAUUAGAAUUUAGUCACAAGAUCACACCUGGCCACAGGGAGAUUGGAAAACCCUGUCUCCCUGCAGACAAAGAAAACAUCUUCUGGGGGAUAAGCCACAUCUGCCACUCUGGGAUGCAGGCAUUCCACCAGCCUGGGGAGCAUUCUCCAUGAGCUGCCCCAACGUCCCUUCUUCAGGGAAGCACUUCAGUCAGACCAGAGAGAAACCCUGUGCACCCAGGCCCACGGUCAGCAGAUACCACAAGGUGAAUCCAUGCAGGACAUUUGGACGCCAUGAAUCCACGUUGCUCUGGAGGGUAAGCUGCACCUGCCAGCGAGACAAAGACCUUUGUGAUUCAAACGACCUGAAGGCUUCUUUCCAGGCUGAGUGUCUUCCUUCCCCCGUGCUGGCGGGCCGCCGAGGAAAGCCGUGGUGUCUCUGAUAACUUGGCCUUACAACAAAAAUCCUAGAGAAGCUGGUGAAUAAAAGCAUGAGGAGACUUUAAUUAAUUCACGUUCUCCCACCAGGCACUAGACAUAUGCGGGCUGCGCUACAGCUAACUCUAAACAACCAUGAAAUGUCAGAAGAGAGGGGUGGCAUCCACGUUCCAGGACGGCAUGGUGCGGGAGACAGCAUCUGGCUGGGCUUUAGGAACCCUGUGUUCCGUUUUCCCUUCUUCUGCCACUAACACGCUGAGAACUGGCGGCGGGCCCCUGACGAUAAUGCACAUGGCACAUACACUUUUCAAAGUACCUUCAAAUCCAUUGGUCCAUUCACUCCUCCACUCGAACUUUGGUUUGCUCCAUGUCCACACCCCCCAACGCGUACACCAUUCUUAUCCACAUGUUCCCCCAUCUUGCCAUCACUCUAAGAGAAGAUUAUAGUAUUUUUAACCACCCUUGGUUCUUUCUGUGUGUUUCUCCAACUUGGGAACAUUCAUGGCACCCGCCAGCUCUGAAGCUGCUCCCCCCACCCCAUGGAAGCACAGUGUAACUACGAAUGCAGCCUGUACUCUUAGGUAAACACCCCACCAUUCAUAAGUGUCUAUCUAAAAAUGCAGACAAGUUAUAUUUCUAGCCAAGGCUGACCAUAGCUGGAAUGAUAAAUCUUUUGUUGGAAAAAAACAAUUCACUUUAAUAAAAGUAACUAUGGUUUAUACAGCACCUCCUAUGUGCUACCCACAGUAGUAUUAAAAGUUACCGUCUUUAGGGCCAGCCCUGUGGCAUAGUGGUUAAGUUCAGCGCAUUCUGCUUCAGUGGCCCGGGUUCGUGGCUUUGGUUCCUGGGCAUGGACCUACACCACUCCUCAGCCAUGCUGUUGUGGCAACCCACAUACAAAAGUCAGGAAGAUUGGCACAGAUGUUAGCUCAGGGCCAAUCUUCCUCAGAAAACAAUAUCCUAACGAUGUAGGCCUCAUCUUCCAUGUUCCACAGGUGAGGCCUUGAGCUUAUGUACUUUGCUCUAAGUCACAGAUCUGUUUGGAUGUGGAGCCAGAAUUUGAACCUGGCUCCUGACUCUUCUACACUCCACUGUCUAAGCACGAAAUGCUUCCUGUGUUUUAUUUUCCACACUAUAAUUUGAUAACAUAAUUGCCAUCUCUUCUUUAAACAGCCACUCUCAGUUCCACGUGAGAAACUGCCUUUAAACUUAAGGUCGUUUAAGGCGAAUGCGUCCACUUUGAAAUGGGCGUGAAGUGAAUCUCUCUCCCCUCUCCGUCUGCGGGGCGGCGGGGCCUGGUCCACACUGGGCGUGUCUUGACAGGAGGUAGGGCGGAAAUGGUGGACAGCUGUUCCUUUAUGAAGUCUCGAGAAGGGUCAAAGUCUGCCUUGUAGGCUUGAGGCAGAAAGGAGGAAGUUUACCCACUGGCUCCGUGCCGGCUACACAGCCUGCUGCCCCCUCCUCCCACUCCGGUCCCGGUGCUGUCUGUUUCUUGAAGGUUUCAGCUGAUCCAUCCCUACAGAGACAGUGAGAGUCUUGUGAAAACAGUGUGUGCUUUGGAUGCAAACAACCCUGGGUUCCAAACCCACUUCUCUAGAGAGAAGGCUACCCUCGCCUCCUCCGGUCGUUUGGAGGUUAAAUGGAAUCACAUGGGAAGAGCAUUGCACAUGGUGGACGUCUGAGAGACGCCCAUGGCUUGGCCUCCCUCUGUUGAUAACUCUGCCUCCUUCCACCUUCCCGAUGUACAGGGCGAGCGGGACCCUCUGUGCCUUCCCCUGAGGAUGGAAGUCAGCCUCACUCAAGCCUCCGAGGCUUCUGAAUCAGCCUCUUGCCCUCCUGCCGCUGCUCGGGGCUGCCCUCCUAGCCUCAGCCCCUUUCAUCUCUCCUGUGUUUCUUUAUUCGGUUCUCCACAAACCUACGCCUUCAGGAAGCUUUGUAUUCUUGCUAACCAGCAGGAAGCCCUAAAUUCCUCCACAUUUAGUCUGUGUUGCACUUUCCACUGCUUGAUUAUACAUCACAAUCUAUUGCUUUCCGCUUAUCUUUCUCUAAGACAACCCAUGCCCCGUGACCUGGUGACACUUGGCACUAAGGACGUAGUAAGUAGAGCCACUUCAUGGCCUCCUUUAUGUAGAUGCUUGUUCCGGGGUUAGACAAUGCAGUCAGCCAACUAAUUCAGUGUCUAAUAAAAAUGCAUUGGCUGGACUUGAAAAUUACCCUGAGUCUGACUUCCCGUGCCUUCAGACUGCCGGGCAGGAGUUUAAGAUAACAGCCUUUGGACAUGGCCCCUUUUUCCCAGCAGAAUUCAGGUGAAAUGGCAGAGGGGCGAGGCUAAUGCUCAGCCACCUGCCACUUCGUGGCAGCCAGUCUCCAAGAUAGUCCCAAUGAUCCCACCUCAUGGUAUUCACACCCCUCUAUAGUCCCCUCCCACAUUGUGUCAGGGUUGGUCUGUGCUGUGCUCUGAAUGUUUCUGUCCCCCUAAAAUUCAUAUGCUGAAAUCCUAUUGCCCAACGCGGUGGUGUUAGGAGAUGGGGCCUUUGAGUGGUGCCUAGGUCAGGAGGAUGGAGCCCUCAUGAAUGAGAUUAGUGUUCUUAUAAAAGAGACCUCACAGAGACUUCUGCCCCUUCCACCAUGUGAGGACACAGUGAGGUGUCAGCAAUGAACGCAGCAGAGAGCCCUCACGGGAACGUGACCAUGCUGGCACCUUGAUCUUGGACUCCCCAGCCUCCAGAACUGAGGGAAGCAGGUUUCUGUUGUUGAUAAGCCACCCAGUUUGUGGUAUUUUGUCAUAGCAUCCUGAACGGACCAAGAUUAUGUGUGUAACCAGCAGAACCCAGGAGGAAUGGUGGGAGAUCACACUGGAGGCUGGAGUAUGAGGGCCACUGUGGCCUCUGUCUCCCUUUCCCUUGGGUUGCUUGCUCUGGUGGAAGCAGUGGCCUGUCUCAAGGACACUCAAGCAGCCCAGUGGAGAGGCUCACACUGGGAGGAGAUGAGGCCUCCAGCUAACAGGCAUGGAGUGUGCCAUCUUGGGAGCAGACCCUCCACCCCAGUCGAGCCUUCAGAUGACUAAGCCCAGCCGACAUCUUGACCACAGCUUCAUUGGAGAUCCUGAGCCAGAACAGCAUAGUGAGGCUGCUCCCAGAGUCCUGACCUGCAGAAACUGGGUGAAAAAUAAGUGUUGUCUUAGACGGACAUGUUUUAGAGCAAAUUUUUAUGCAGCAGUAGAUAACUAAUACAGACUCGGUUCUGACUUGCGUCUGCCUCUCUCCUGCAAAGUGCCACCCCCCGAAAUGUACACCUGAGACCCAUCUGAGGUGAACCAGCUUUACUUAUAAUUGAAAACAAAUUAUAUACACUUUAAAAUUAUUUGACUGUCAUUUCAUUACCAAAUGAACAAAGUCAAACAACCUAACUUUCCUUAACAAGAAUAUCAGGUUUGACUAUAUUAUAAUUGGGAACAAAACAUAAAAUACAUUUGCAUUUUUUUCCUAGAGUCGAAGCUUUUAAUGGGAGACAUUAAAAAAAUCUGAAGAAAGCUGCAGCAACUGGUGUUUUGAAAGUCAAAUGCCCUUAGCCAAUAUAAGCCACAAUAAAGAAAAUAAAACCAUAAGUCACCCAUAAGGAUGCCUUUGUCAUCCACAGAGACCGUCUCUCGCAGUGGAUCAGUACAGUGUACGUGGUGCACACACAGUCCACUACAUUUUAUUGAGGAUCCUCAACGUGCCAGGCACUGAGCCCAGGAACAGAAAACAUGUUCCUCCAGAAAUUCAGAAUCUAGAUGGUCUGGAGAUAACCUACCAUCGGGUCACAAUUUUGCAUUGUGCUUUAUCCAGGAAACACGCACAGACUAUAUAUCAAAUAUAAACUACUUUAAUAAAAAAUAUUAAUUUAUAACUACUUGCUCCAUAGAGAUACUCAAAGCAGAUGUCUGGGAAUGGAGCAAAUUCCAAGGAAUUUUUAAAGUCAGGCAUUUCUUAUGAGUUAGAGAAACAGGACAGGUCACACUGGCUCCAUCAUCCACAGGGCACAGGGCAAAAUGAAAAUGCAAGCCCCGUGUUUGAAAAUUAAUAAGAAUUUCAAGAUGACAGCAGAGCAUUAAACUAAGCACAGGGCCUGUCUGAGCGCAGGGACUACGAGACGGCACGGGUCCUACAGCCAUGAGGCCGCACGAUGGCAGGGGGCGUGUUGUCUCUUGUUACAGAGAUCUCUCAGGAGUUAAGCACGGAAGCGAAGUGUAGGUGGGACGAGAAGGCAUCCACGAAUGGGUCAUUGAGUGACACAGACAGCCGUUUGUUGAGUUAACAGUAACUAAUAUUUCUACGGUACUUUACAGUUUACAAAGCACUCCCCCCAGAUCUGGUAUCUCAAUGAAUCGAAGCAACAAUUCCACGAUUUAUCAAUGUUCUCCCUCUGGUAUAGAAGAGGUCAAGUGACUCCUUCAAAGCCACUCAGCCCAUUGUGAGGAGGACCCAGAGGCGGGUCAGCAGACCUCAAAUCCAAUUUCCUUCCACAAAAUCAACACAGGCUGUGCUGGGAGUUGUGUGUUACAGAGAGACAGAAUUUUAUGUGUGCGAUCCAGCCGUCCGCUGGUGAGAGCUGGAAGGUGACGGGUGCGGCACUGGGGCUGCCUCGAU
rnacentral:lncRNA from 1 species